AGUGACAGUGUGAGGAUAUCCUCAGUGUCUGUGUAUUGCAGUGACAGUGUGAGGAUUGCUCAGUGUUGGUGUAUUGCAGUGACAGUGUGAGGAUAUACUCAGUGUCUGUGUAUUGCAGUGACAGUGUGAUGAUAUUCUCAGUGUCGGUGUAUUGCAGUGACAGUGUGAGGAUAUCCUCAGUGUCGGUUUAUUGCAGUGACAGUGUGAGGAUUGCUCAGUGUCGGUUUAUUGCAGUGACAGUGUGAGGAUUGCUCAGUGUCGGUGUAUUGCAGUGACAGUGUGAGGAUAUUCUCGGUGUCAGUGUAUUAUAAUGACAGUGUGAUGAUAUUCUCGAUACAGGUAUUACAGAGACAGUGUGAGGAUAUUCUCAGUGUCUGUGUAUUGCAGUGACAGUGUGAGGAUAUUCUUA